CCAUCUCUGUGGCAUUGUGUUGUGUAUAGAUAUAGACAGGCAUACAGACAGACAUCCCUGCGGCUCCCAUCCCAUCUCUGUGGCAUUGAACUGCACAUUUAGAGUGGCCUUUUUAUUGUCCCCAGCACAAGGUGCACCUGUGGAAUGUUUAAUCAGCUUCUUAAUAUGCCACACCUGUCAGGUGGAUAGAUUCUCUUGGCAAAGAAGAAAUGCUCAUUAACAGGGCUGUAAACACAUUUGUGCUCAAUAUUUGAGAGAAAUGAGCUUUUUGUGCGCAUGAAACAUUUCUGGGACCUUUUAUUUAUUUUAUAAACACUUUACAUGUCACGUUGAUAUUUUCAGUAUAAAUGGAAUUCAAAUAAUUGAACCGAUGUCAUCAAUUAGUUGUUUAAAAACUGCAAAGAUUACUGUGAUCUCAGUUAAUGCUCAGCACUCGCAGACAGGCAGUCAGACAGACAGACGGUCACCAUAGCAGUCAGACAGGCAGUCAGACAGACAGACGGUCACCAUAGCAGUCAGACAGACGGUCACCAUAGCAGUCAGACAGACAGUCAGACAGACAGACGGUCACCAUAGCAGUCAGACAGACAGUCAGACAGACAGACGGUCACCAUAGCAGUCAGACAGACAGACGGUCACCAUAGCAGUCAGACAGACAGACAGACGGUCACCAUAGCAGUCAGACAGACAGACAGUCACCAUAGCAGUCAGACAGACAGACAGUCACCAUAACGGUCACCAUAGCAGACAGACAGACGGUCACCAUAGCAGUCAGACAGACGGUCACCAUAGUAGUCAGACAGACAGUCAGUCACCAUAGCAGUCAGACAGACAGUCAGACAGGCAGGCAGACAGACGGUCACCAUAGCAGUCAGACAGACAGUCACCAUAGCAGUCAGACAGUCAGACAGACAGUCAGACAGACAGACAGUCAGACAGACGGUCACCAUAGCAGUCAGUCAGACAGACAGUCAGACAGACAGUCAGACAGACAGUCAGACAGACGGUCACCAUAGCAGUCAGUCAGACAGACAGUCAGACAGACAGUCAGACAGACAGUCAGACAGACGGUCACCAUAGCAGUCAGUCAGACAGACAGUCAGACAGACAGUCAGACAGACGGUCACCAUAGCAGUCAGUCAGACAGACAGUCAGACAGACAGUCAGAUGGGUAAGCAAUAACAAUAAACAAAUUCAGGUAGAAACACACCAACACGAUAAAUGGUGUUUCCCUUCCUGUACAAAUCACCUGGGAAGGCAGAACGUUAAGGUUUCUUACUUCCUGUACAAAUCACCUGGGAAGGCAGAACGUUAAGGUUUCUUACUUCCUGUACAAAUCACCUGGGAAGGCAGAACGUUAAGGUUUCUUACUUCCUGUACAAAUCACCUGGGAAGGCAGAACGUUAAGGUUCCUUCCUUCCUGUACAAAUCACCUGGGAAGGCAGAACGUUAAGGUUCCUUCCUUCCUGUACAAAUCACCUGGGAAGGCAGAACGUUAAGGUUCCUUCCUUCCUGUUCACCAAGGAUUCUUCAUUCAGAAAGACGCUUCAACAGGAAGGAAUAACAACAAGUAGAAUCAUACUAAAAGCUGUGUGUUUUAUGAUAAAGGAUAUUAACCUGAAGAUGUGAACACAGGUAACAUUUAGUAUUGUGGGGAUUAUAAUCAUAUAAGUAGUGCACUAUAUAGGGAACAGGGUGCAAUUGGGCCUGGUCUAAAGUAGUGCACUACAUAGGGAACAGGGUGCCAUUGGGU
ensembl:lncRNA